GAGGAGUUCAAGAAGAAUUAGGGAGGGAUAGGAGGUGAUUAGAUGGAAAAGGGAGGAAGAGAGGGGGAAGGGAGGGUAGGAAGAAAAGACAGGGCAACAAGGGAGGAGGAAAGGAGAGAAGGGAGGGAGGUAGAGAGGGGAGGAGAGAAGAAAGACAGAAGUAGAAGAGCAUGAAGAAAACAAAUGGAAUGAAUGAGAAAGGAAAAUAAGUAGAAGAAAGAAGGACGGAAGGACUGAGGGUCAAGCAACACAAGUUUAUUGACACCAGGUGCUAUGCUAGGUGACCUUCUAGGUGUUGUUGUAGAUGCUAAGUGCUAUGCUGGGUGACCUGCUAGGUGCUAUACUAGGUGACCUUCUAGGUGCUGUGCUAGGUGUUGAGGAGAUGGGAGACAGGUGAGGAGAGGGGUGAGGGGAGUAAAGGGGAGUGAGGGUGAGGAAAGAGGUGUGGAGAGGGGAGAGAAAGGUGAGGAGAGGGGAAAAGGAUGAGAGUGGAGACAGGGUGGUCAGAAAAGAGGGAAAGGGUGAAAAGAGGGGAGAGGAUGUUGAGGAAAUUGGGAAAAGGGUGAGGAUAGAGAAAGGUGAGUAGAACGGUGUGGAGAGUUAAGAGGGGAUGUCAUCUUUCUUCUGUUACUAAACUCCCUGGAAGCCCCCCCCCUUGGGUUGCUAUGGUGACGAGAAGGUAAACGUGCACUGCCGUUGUUUAGUCUGUCAACGUCUGUAAAUCUUUAUUAAUACACUUGUGUGUCUAAGAUACAUAUUGUACUUGUUUGUAUGUUGUCUGUUUGGUGGUAUUAUAGUGUUUACUGGUUUAUUAUCUGGACAAAUGUCAAGAUAGAAUUCUGCACACCAGCAGGGUUUAAUAUCUCAUAGGGUUAACCCUAACCCACACCAGCAAGGUCUAAUAUCUCAUGCUCAGCUGUCAUACUUAUUAUACCGUAUCCAAGGUGAUUUGGCAUCCAAGCCAAACACUUCACAGUAUAUCGGGCAUGUACUGUUGCAAUUAUUUUGUACUACUAUUGAACAAACAUAUUUAUCCAGUGGAAUACAGUUGGUUGAAGGAUUAGGGUUAGAAGGUUACAAGCUGGGUCUAGUGUAGAGGUUCCCUGUAGGAUCUUGUGGAUUGGGGCUCAAGGUCAGAAGGACAGAAAGGUCAAAUCACGCCCCUCACUUCCAACUGAUGCACAAUUAAAAUAUUAAAGAUA